AUGGCGCCGAGGCUGGAGCGCGGCGGCAGCGGCUUCCAUCUCCCGAACUCCAGGCAGGAGGACUCCCUCUUCCUCCGCGCCCUCAUCUCCGUUGUAAACGGAGACGCCGUCGUCCCCACGCUGCACCUCGAGCCGUCGUCGCCGCACUUUGCCGCUGCAGUUCCUGCGUGCGCCAGCUGCGGCGUGGACGGGUGCAUCGGCUACAUGUUCGCUGCUGCGGCGGCGCCGGCCGGCUCGAGCAGCGAGGGCGAAGGAUGCUCCGCCGCGAGCUUUGUGAAGGGCGGCGGCGUGGGGAAGAUCACGCGGAGGAGGAGCCGGAGCAAGUUCAGGGGCGUGAGGCAGCGGUCGUGGGGGAAGUGGGCCGCGGAGAUCCGCGACCCGCACCGCGCCGUGCGCAAGUGGCUCGGCACCUUCGACACCGCCGUGGAUGCCGCCCGCGCAUACGAUCUCGCGGCGCUCGAGUUCCGUGGCCACGGCGCCAGACUCAACUUCCCGGCCGCGGCCGCGUCGUCGUCGUCGUCGGCUUCUGUUUCUGAUUCGUCUUGGGCGGCUGCGCAGUCGUAG
rnacentral:rRNA from 1 species